GAUGAACGCUGGCGGCGUGCUUAACACAUGCAAGUCGAACGGUGAACGAGGGAGCUUGCUCCCUCCGGAUCAGUGGCGAACGGGUGAGUAACACGUGAGCAAUCUGCCCUGGACUCUGGGAUAAGCGUUGGAAACGACGUCUAAUACCGGAUACGAGGCGUGGGGGCAUCCCCAACGCCUGGAAAGAACUUCGGUCCAGGAUGAGCUCGCGUCCAAUUAGCUAGAUGGUGAGGUAACGGCUCACCAUGGCGACGAUUGGUAGGGGGCCUGAGAGGGUGGUCCCCCACACUGGUACUGAGACACGGACCAGACUCCUACGGGAGGCAGCAGUGAGGAAUAUUGGUCAAUGGGCGCAAGCCUGAACCAGCCAUGCCGCGUGAAGGAUGAAGGUUCUAUGGAUUGUAAACUUCUUUUAUUUGGGAAUAAACCUCUUUACGUGUAGAGAGCUGAAGGUACCAAAUGAAUAAGCACCGGCUAACUCCGUGCCAGCCGCCGCUGUAACAC
rnacentral:rRNA from 1 species